rnacentral:tRNA from 1 species
GGUUUCGUAGCUCAGUCGGUAGAGCAUCGCACUGAAAAUGCGAGUGUCGGUGGUUCAAUUCCGCCCGAAACCACCA